CAGAAGAAGUGGUGCAGGUGUGCCGUACCGCAUACCAGACAUAAAGCCCCAAGUCUGCGUAUGGACCUGUUGGCAGCGGCGCCGCCACUGCUGCCGAUGAUUCUCGCAUCGUGCGCCUUUUCGCCUUCAUAGAGCCGCUGCGCAGCCGGUCGUCGGCGCGCUUCCCUUCCUUACUUCAUCAUUUGCGCACUCACUCUUCCGCUAGGAUGCCUCCCUCGCUCUGCUGUUCGAAACCUUUUAUCCGCCGAUGCUUAGCCGACCGUGUAUACCCGUAAGGAAGCGAUAGCAAGGGGACAGCUGGAGGCUAACCACCACGCACCGCCACCGCAACGCCCGUGGGUAGUUUUGAACCUGUGCGCCACAUGAUCUGUUAUGCUUUCAACAAGCGUCGGCCGCACAGCCUCCAGCAUGCCGACUCGCCUUCGGCAACGCACAAGAGGGCCCGGCAAGGCAACGGAGGUGCCGAGGAGAGCCCUCCCCACCUGGCGGGCAGACGAGGUCUCGGCAAGGCAGACGAGGUCUCGGCAAGGCAGACGAGGUCUCGGCAAGGCAGACGAGUCCCGGCAAGGCAGACGAGUCCCGGCAAGGCAGACGAGUCUCGGCAAGGCAAAGGAGCGCCGGCAGUGCAGAGGAGCCCCGGCAAGCCAGCGAGGGGCCCGGCAAGGCAACGGAGGUGCCGAGGAGAGCCCUCCCCACCUGGCGGGCAGACGAGGUCUCGGCAAGGCAGACGAGGUCUCGGCAAGGCAGACGAGUCUCGGCAAGGCAAAGGAGCGCCGGCAGUGCAGAGGAGCCCCGGCAAGCCAGCGAGGGGCCCGGCAAGGCAACGGAGGUGCCGAGGAGAGCCCUCCCCACCUGGCGGGCAGACGAGGUCUCGGCAAGGCAGACGAGUCCCGGCAAGGCAGACGAGCCCCGGCAAGGCAGACGAGUCCCGGCAAGGCAGACGAGCCCCGGCAAGGCAGACGAGUCUCGGCAAGGCAGACGAGUCUCGGCAAGGCAGACGAGUCUCGGCAAGGCAAAGGAGCGCCGGCAGUGCAGAGGAGCCCCGGCAAGCCAGCGAGGGGCCCGGCAAGGCAACGGAGGUGCCGAGGAGAGCCCUCCCCACCUGGCGGGCAGACGAGGUCCCGGCAAGGCAGACGAGGUCUCGGCAAGGCAGACGAGUCCCGGCAAGGCAGACGAGUCUCGGCAAGGCAGACGAGUCCCGGCAAGGCAGACGAGUCUCGGCAAGGCAGACGAGUCCCGGCAAGGCAGACGAGGUCUCGGCAAGGCAGACGAGUCCCGGCAAGGCAGACGAGUCCCGGCAAGGCAGACGAGUCUCGGCAAGGCAAAGGAGCGCCGGCAGUGCAGAGGAGCCCCGGCAAGCCAGCGAGGGGCCCGGCAAGGCAACGGAGGUGCCGAGGAGAGCCCUCCCCACCUGGCGGGCAGACGAGGUCUCGGCAAGGCAGACGAGCCCCGGCAAGGCAGACGAGUCCCGGCAAGGCAGACGAGUCCCGGCAAGGCAGACGAGUCUCGGCAAGGCAAAGGAGCGCCGGCAGUGCAGAGGUGCCCCGGCAAGCCAGCGAGGGGCCCGGCAAGGCAACGGAGGUGCCGAGGAGAGCCCUCCCCACCUGGCGGGCAGACGAGGUCUCGGCAAGGCAGACGAGUCCCGGCAAGGCAGACGAGUCUCGGCAAGGCAGACGAGUCCCGGCAAGGCAGACGAGUCCCGGCAAGGCAGACGAGUCUCGGCAAGGCAGACGAGUCUUGGCAAGGCAGACGAGUCUCGGCAAGGCAGACGAGUCCCGGCAAGGCAGACGAGUCUCGGCAAGGCAGACGAGUCCCGGCAAGGCAGACGAGUCCCGGCAAGGCAGACGAGUCCCGGCAAGGCAGACGAGUCCCGGCAAGGCAGACGAGUCUCGGCAAGGCAGACGAGUCUCGGCAAGGCAAAGGAGCGCCGGCAGUGCAGAGGAGCCCCAGCAAGCCAGCGAGGGGCCCGGCAAGGCAACGGAGGUGCCGAGGAGAGCCCUCCCCACCUGGCGGGCAGACGAGGUCUCGGCAAGGCAGACGAGGUCUCGGCAAGGCAGACGAGUCCCGGCAAGGCAGACGAGUCCCGGCAAGGCAGACGAGUCUCGGCAAGGCAGACGAGGUCUCGGCAAGGCAGACGAGUCCCGGCAAGGCAGACGAGUCCCGGCAAGGCAGACGAGUCUCGGCAAGGCAGACGAGUCCCGGCAAGGCAGACGAGUCCCGGCAAGGCAGACGAGUCUCGGCAAGGCAAAGGAGCGCCGGCAGUGCAGAGGAGCCCCGGCAAGCCAGCGAGGGGCCCGGCAAGGCAACGGAGGUGCCGAGGAGAGCCCUCCCCACCUGGUGGGCAGACGAGGUCUCGGCGAGGCAGAACACCGGAAAGCCGAAGAUAGCCCCGCAAACCGUGUGUGUGCUUACAGGGAGCUCGCGGACGCCAGAGCGGAGAACCACCGGCGAACCCAACCGGCUACGACAGAGGCGCCCUGCAAAAGGCUCGUUUGGAUAGCCUGGGAAAGCCGCAUGGCGUUGAAGCGCACUGAAGCAGCCAUCUUGGGCCUACUAAGCGCUACGCCACUGUAUAUGGUUUUAAGCGAAGUGAAUGUUUUCCUUGCUUCAAGGCACGCGAAUGACAAGCCUAGCAGUGGGAAGCAACGCCGGGUACUGGGUUACGGGCUAGGUCCGGAUGAGGCACUAGCUACCGGCGCGUGGACUAGCACUCAGCCAUCAGAGCACUAUAGUAUGGCAGGUGACUGAGGCAGCAGAAAGGAUCGCUUGUGUCGGAAGCAAC
rnacentral:misc_RNA from 1 species